rnacentral:rRNA from 1 species
UACGUAGGGUGCGAGCGUUGUCCGGAAUUAUUGGGCGUAAAGAGCUCGUAGGCGGUGUGUCACGUCGGCCGUUAAAACCUGCAGCUUAACUGUGGGCGUGCGGUCGAUACGGGCAUCACUGGAGUUCGGCAGGGGAGACUGGAAUUCCUGGUGUAGCGGUGAAAUGCGCAGAUAUCAGGAGGAACACCGGUGGCGAAGGCGGGUCUCUGGGCCGAUACUGACGCUGAGGAGCGAAAGCGUGGGGAGCAAACAGG